rnacentral:rRNA from 1 species
UACGAAGGGGGCUAGCGUUGCUCGGAAUUACUGGGCGUAAAGCGCACGUAGGCGGCUCUUUAAGUCGGGGGUGAAAUCCUGGAGCUCAACUCCAGAACUGCCUUCGAUACUGAAGAGCUUGAGUCCGGGAGAGGUGAGUGGAACUGCGAGUGUAGAGGUGAAAUUCGUAGAUAUUCGCAAGAACACCAGUGGCGAAGGCGGCUCACUGGCCCGGUACUGACGCUGAGGCACGAAAGCGUGGGGAGCAAACAGG